AGUCACUAGAAAAUCUGCACGCAAUCCUACCUGGAAUCAGCUUGCAGCAUGCUAGUUGCCCCACCAGAGAUUGAAUGUGGGCCCCGGCAGUGAAAGCACCAAGACCUGACUACUGGGCCAUCAGGGAAUUCUCCAAUGCCAACAUUUUAAGUACCAUCUCACUUAAACUUUACAUAUACUCUUUGAAGCCCUUUCUCAAAUCCAUCUAGUGAUCACUGACAAAAAGUAGUCAAAUCCAUGUCUGUCUUGAUAUGACCAUUUUUAAGGAAGCCAAGUAAAGGAAAUGGAUUCAAAGGUAAGCCAAAGAGGGCUCAUUUUAGACACGUGCACAAAAAUAAUUUAAUAGAGGACCAAUUAUGUCUAUAUAGAUUAAUUCAGUUCAGUUCAGUUCAGUAGCUCAGUCAUGACCAACUCUUUGUGAUCCCAUGGACUGUAGCAUGCCGGGCUUCCCUGUCCAUCACCAACUGCCAGAGCCUGCUCAAACUCAUGCCCAUCGAGUUGGUGAUGCCAUCUAACGAUCUUAUCCUCUGUUGUUCCGUAAUAGAUUAAUUAGUGAACUCAAAAGUUGCAUCAUGGAACAUCCUUAAAGUGACUAGAUAUUGGGUUAAGCAAUCAUUUAUUAGACCAGAUCUCAUCUGACAAACUUUCUAUUUCAGUUUGUUAUUUUAACCACAAGACUUCUAAAUUACUACUUAAUUGUAAUAUGUCAAUGGCCCCAUGGUGCUGUUAUAAUUUUAUGUUAGCAUAUUGGUAGGUUAAAUAAUGUGAUUAUGUGAUAGAUAAGGAAGAAAUUUUUAUAGUCAGUUGUUCAUUGUUUUCUAAGAAACAGAACUACAACAUAUUUAAAAUCCCCCAUUAAUUUAAAAAUAUCAUUAUAUGUCCAUAGAGUGUUCAGAUUUCCUCAAUUGCUUCAUAAUUAUUUUUGAAGAUUGUUCAAAUCAAGAUUCAGCAGAGUUUCUACACUGCAGUUGUUUGACUUGUAUCUUAAGUCCCUUUUGAUCUGUGCACCCACUUGAAUUUGCCUUGGAGAAUUUUCCACAGUCUGGAUUUUGCUCAAUGUAUGCUUGUGUGGUUAUUUAACAUGUUGUUCCCGCCCCUGCCUGACCCCAUAUUCUUUAUUUUUAUCAAAUAAAGGGAUUUAAGACUUUCAAA